AAAAAUAAACACCAACCCCAGGAAAACGCAACCCGACGUGAAUGUGACAGACCGUCACACCAAUGCUUGUUUUGUUUUCGGCUGUACGAAUCGUUCAAAUCGCGACAAGAAUAAACAUUUCUUCAGAGUUCAUCAAAAAAGCGCGGAAGAGUGCAAGAUUUUACGGAACAACGGCAAGAGAAUCAUGCAGUUCACACUACAGUCCAAGCAAGGUACCAGAGUCGAAAAAUGCAGGAGUUUGCAUUGAUCACUUCAUUAAAGCCUCAAAAUGACCACUACAAGACCUCGUCUCAUUCCAGACUGCAGUGGUUUCUCCCAAGAUCAUAAAUCAUGCCUCUCACCUGGACAGUUGAAGUGUAAUGUCUGGGUGGCAUGGUGAUGCCGGUGGCGCUCUCCCAAGAUGCAGAUCGGGCAUGGACACAGCUUAAAGCUUUACUGAAGGAGAGAGGGUGUAAGAGGCAGAGACCGGCGGAGAUGAUGGAGUUCAACAAAACAGGGCAAUCACAACAUCAACCGGAUCUGGUGCCUGAACUUCAACCAGAUCCGUGUGCGUUGUGUGUCUGCUCCUGUCCGUCAAGGCUCCUGUCCAUCAAGACCACUUCCACCACCGGCAGCGGUCUCCCUCCGCAUCAACGAGAGCACAGUCGGUCUGCUGGUGCGCGAGAUAAUACUCUGUAUGAGGUAUAAAACACUAUAUAAUAUUUAUAAACACAUAUUUAAACACACAUGCAGGCUGUUUCCGGACAGCCGGAGCUGACAAGAAGCGCAGUGGAGCCGGUGGAAGCCCACACAUUGAACAAAGUCAAACUACACGGGCAGACAUUGCAUGCAUCUAUGUCCGACUGUCGCCUCUAUAAUCUUCCAUGCUCACACUGCUCCUGACUUAUGUAAUAGUGAGGGAAAG